rnacentral:rRNA from 1 species
UCUGCCUAGUAGUGGGGGAUAACUUGCCGAAAGGUAAGCUAAUACCGCAUACGUCCUACGGGAGAGAGCAGGGGACUCUUCGGAGCCUUGCGCUAUUAGAUGAGCCUAGGUCGGAUUAGUUAGUUGGUGAGGUAAUGGCUCACCAAGACAGCGAUCCGUAACUGGUCUGAGAGGAUGAUCAGUCACACUGGAACUGAGACACGGUCCAGACUCCUACGGGAGGCAGCAGUGGGGAAUAUUGGACAAUGGGGGAAACCCUGAUCCAGCCAUGCCGCGUGUGUGAAGAAGGUCUUCGGAUUGUAAAGCACUUUAAGUUGGGAGGAAGGGCAGUUAACUAAUAUUUGACUGUUUUGACGUUACCGACAGAAUAAGCACCGGCUAACUUCGUGCCAGCAGCCGCGGUAAUACGAAGGGUGCAAGCGUUAAUCGGAAUUACUGGGCGUAAAGCGCGCGUAGGUGGUUCGUUAAGUUAGGAGUGAAAGCCCCGGGCUCAACCUGGGAAUUGCUUCUAAAACUGGCGGGCUAAAGUAUGGUAGAGGGUGGUGGAAUUUCCUGUGUAGCGGUGAAAUGCGUAGAUAUAGGAAGGAACAUCAGUGGCGAAGGCGACCAUCUGGACUGAUCCUGACACUGAGGUGCGAAAGCGUGGGGAGCAAACAGGAUUAAAUUCCCUGGUAGUCCACGCCGUACCCGAUGUCAACUA